rnacentral:hammerhead_ribozyme from 1 species
CCACAGCUGAUGAGUCCCAAAUAGGACGAAAAGCACUUCUUGGAC